rnacentral:lncRNA from 1 species
CUUCCCAUGGGCAUCUUUGUCUGACUGGUUUCCUACCCUUCACCUGUGGCCAAAGGAAGAGGAAGAAAGGCUUAUUCUCAGAUUGAGGACCCUUGGGAAGUAAUCCUGGACUGUAGGUGAUGUCAGACUUCACCGCCAGGCAAUGACAGCAAUGGAAGAAGUGAAAGGAAAACAUGCCAAAAUGGAGUGUUCAGGGAUUUUCCAACUCAUCUUUGGGAUGGGGAUUUACAAAGAGGUUUUCUUAUUCUUAAGGAUAUUAUAAAAACAAGAGGAGGUAAGAAGCCUCAUUGCAGACCUCCAAGGGAACAUUAGCCUUAGGAACAUGGAUGAAAGAAUGGUUAACUCUGAAAGGGAAAGUAAACAGGAACUGUCAAAGACAUACCCAGUGUGUCUCAGAGGCUACAUCACUGGCUCCGUCCAACUCUCAAGUGUGCCGGGCAUUUUUCCUUUUAAGGACAGUGAAGUCAUCUCCAUAUAGGCCACGGUGUCAGGCACAGGGAAGCCACUGCCAGGAGGAAGGAAGCCAUUCCCUGACCAGGGUCAAUAUUGCCCCCAGCAGGAGCAUCUCUGCAAUGGAAGGUUUCACUUAACCACCCAGCAGUUUGAACAACAGGGACGGGGUCCAUCCGGAGACAGAAACUCUGUUUUCACAAACAAGUGAACAAAACAACAGAAGGAUAGAACAAAAUCCUUAUCCUUUGUUAGGAGACUCCAACAAAUCCUCUCGGAUUUGACUUGCAGAUUCUAGCUUGACUUGCACGUUCUUCCUUGAUGUCCUUUCCACGGGGCCAUGAGGCAUUUUCUGUUACCCUGUGAGCUGGCUGCUGGGACUUUUCCACAUGUCUCAUGACUCUUAGCGAACCUUCGUUUUCAUUUGGCUUUGAGCUGGGCAGGCUAUGGUUUCUCAGGUUUAGCUUUGGGAAGGUGCCCCCUACUGGGCUUUGGGUGAUGGAAGAACUUGAGGACCCCGGAAGGGGAGCUGCAGUAGCUGCCCGUGAAUGUAACCUGGACUUUGGAACCUUCUGGAUGACACAGUUGCUUACCCGUCUUGUUAUCAAUCUGGAAAUCUAGUCAAGCGCUACAUUUCCAGUCCCC